rnacentral:lncRNA from 1 species
CCAUAUAGAUUAUCCUUGUAGUAAGGAACUGUUGAAAGCAAGGUAUCAUCGAUGUCAAAAAUCCAAGCAUCGAAUCCAUCUUUCUUCAGAUUACAGCUUGUGCUGAGAUAAACCAGACAUUCUUCAGUUGCUCUCUGUGAGUCCACUUUGUACUGUGUGGAAGUGACAUAUUUUCCAAUGUACUCAAUGCAUUCUUCAGGCACAACUUGAAACUCCCUGAUGUUGUGCAGUUCCACAUUCAUCCUCCAACUCUCACAGUAGUUCUUCAAGCUGAUCUUCAAUCCAUCAUGUGUCUGCAGUUUCAGUAUGUUCCAAUCAGCAGCACCUGCUAGAGGAACCAAAAGACAUGUCAAAACCAGACACCACCACACUGUUUUCUCCAUUUUCUCUUCCUUGGAGAAAACUGCAUGCAAGGAGAGUUUAGCAGAUGAUAGAACAACUCUAACUAGCCAUUCCCUUUUAAAGUAUGCAGAUUUCAAUGUUCUGAGAAUGUGAGCAAGUCAUCACAUGGGUCUGAAUCAAUAAAAAAUUAGCUGCAUCAGGCACAUGGUGCUAUAUAGCUGGCAAGAGUGCCAGAACUGAAGAAAAUGUCAAUUAUGAGGAAGGAAAUUCUGUCUAUUUCAUUUCAAAGUCAGAAGCUUUAUUGUAAAAGACAAAAUUAUAGUUCAUGCUUUCACAUUUUCACAUGACAAAAUAGGUUUUAUAUGUUGAAUACAAACACCACAAGAAUAAGCCUCUCACAUGAACAAUUAUGCUAUCAUUUUUCAUUUUUUAUCACUACAUAUAAAUUAAACAUCUCUAGCUAUCUCUGAAAAAUAAGUUUAUAUAAUUAUUUUAUUAGUGUAAAACUAAUAUUUAUAUGUUUUCACAUAGAUACAUGUUUUCUAUAUUACCUAAAUGUUUUUGUAUAUAUAUUUUUCCAACAAUGAUAACAAUAUUUUUUAUUUAUAUUUAUUUAUAUAUUUAUAAAAUAGUUUUAAAUAUAUCAAAUUUUAACACAAUUUAUAAAAUAAUAUAUUCCAACAAUAAAUAAAUAGUUUAGUAAUUAUCCAAUAAUAAAUUAAACAAUAUAUUCCAAAAGCUCAAAUCUCGCAGGCCUGACUUUCCACGGAUUUUAUAAAAAAUAAUAUAUACAGAUAAACGAAAUACAAAUGGAUAUAUUUUCCUCUCAGUUUUUAUAUUUUAUUUCCUAUCUAUUGAAUAACAAAAUGUAAAGUGUUAAAACUUCAUAUUAUCCUACCUAAUUCUUUUAACACUUUGGUUGAGUUAUACAAAUGUUGGAUAUAGUUUUCCAAAUUUAAUUUGUUAUAUUUGAAAAAAAAAAACUAUUUUGAUUUCUCAAAGGUAGUGUUUAGAGACUAAAAUUAUAUUUUUUAAUUAAUUAUCAAGAAACUAAAUUUAAGAAACUAUAGCAAAAAUUAUCUUAAAAUUUCACGAGCUAAAAAUGUAAUUAAAAUUAAAAUUUAUUAAUACGUAUAAUAAAUUAUGAAGUGAUAUAAUUCCACAAAUAUCUCUAACUUGAUAGAAUUAUUUUUUUCUAAUAAUUGUUAUAAAUUCGAAAUCGUAAGUAGAAAGUUCGGGAAUUUAAAAUAGAAAAUUUAUCCAUUUCGAAAUUAUAAUUCUGAUAACUGAGGAUAAUAAAGUGAUCGUUUACAACAUCAUAUCAUAUACUAAAAGAAUUUAAUAGAUUCUUACAAUCCCACUUUUAAGUAAUUCAUAGACUAAUUUGCUCUCUUAAUAGAAAAAAUCUCAAAGGAUUCAUAUUUAAUAGCGUUUUAUUUAAAUUUAUUUUUUAUUUCAAAUGAAUAUAUUUAUUCAUAUUUUAAUUAAAGCCAUAAAACCAUAUCCUAUAAAGCAUAAAACACUAUUUUUUUUAUGAAAUUAUUCGUACCAUGUAAAAUUGUUCUAAUAAAAAAAAUCAAAAUAUUAUAUCUUCAAAUACAAUACUCGCAAAAUAAACUUGUCUUAAAAGUAAUUUUCUGCAAUAUUAAAUUUAAGGGUACAAAUUAUUAGGUUAGUUGUUAGCUACUACUGCUUUUUUAUGUUAUUUAAUAAUAAAAGUGAUCAUAAUAAGAUUUUUUUUUUCUUUUACAAAAUUAUAAUAAGAUACUAAGUUGCUAGGUUUAUUAUAAAACUGUAAUAAUAAAUUAAGUAGGGUAUAACACUUAUGGAAGUUGCUUUUAUCAUGCUGGCACGUUUAUGUUAUAAUAUAACUAAAUAAUUUUUAAAUAAAUCUAAGUUUAUCAUUUUUAAUCAAUUCUCCAUCUAUAAAGUAAUCAAAGUUUUUCAACUUUACAAAACAAUUAAUGACACUUUGUUAAUUUUUUAAUUUUCUAAUAACAUGUUUAAUGUGAAAACUAAUUGGAUAGUGUUAUUCUUUUGUAAUAAUACAUGAGUAAGGAUGAAAUUGUUUUACUAUUUUUUUUUUCCAUUUUGAUAAUUUCUUAAUAUUACCCCAAAAAUAAAACCCUAAUUCUGCAAAAGGUCAAAGCCAGGUUUGAAUUCGUCCAUUUUCCCUCUUUCAUUCUGAAUUUUUCAAUCACUUUACCGUAUACCAACUCUGCAAUCUCAAUUUUUCUUUCUAUUGCUUUCUGCCAAUCUGGUUUUCUGAAAAAUGCAGCGACAAUAAUUAAAAAAAAGGAAGAAGCGAGUAUGAGACUGUUUUUGCUUUUGCGGUUUCUAUUUUGUGUUUUACUUGUUUCGUGUAAUCCAAUGCGUAAAAUGAAUUUUGCUACAAUGUUGUUCUCUUAACACGGUAGAUCUUCUGACAUUGUAGAGUUGGUGGUGGGUCAUGAUAAUUUAACAAAACAAAGGUGAAAAGUCUUCCCUUUUUGUGUUACCCUUUGGGUUAAAUUUUUCAAAUUCUAAACGUUGUUUGAAGUGAAUUUGGUUGGGGUGACAUGCAUGUUGGUUUUCAUGAGAUUUCAUUCAGUGAGUUUGUCAGCAUUUUUUUCCCUAUGGCACUUCGUUAUAAACUUAACUACGGUACUGUGUUAUGUUUCAGGACGAGUUACCUCUGCUGGAAACAAGUUCAAAAUGUCACUGGGUUUGCCAGUGGCAGCUGUGGUGAGCUGUGCUGACAACACUGUUGUAGGCUAAGAAUCUUUACAUCAUAUCCGUGAAAGAAAUGAAGGAUUGCCUCAACAGAACGCAACGUGAACCCCAAAACAGACAGAAACUUACAAGAGAAAACCAGUGAACCACAAAACUGUUACUCAGGUAUGUUCUGUUUAAAUCAAUGCCUAGAAACACACAAAUCCAGUGCCGUUUUUUGCUUUUUUCUAGUGUCCAACCGAGCUGCUUGAGCUUAUUCUGAACUUGCGAUUUUACGCGAGUUUGCUCGAGUUCACACGAGCCUACUCAAAAAAGAUCAUGCGUGAGAGUUCACUAGGUUCAAGGGCACGUCUAAUGCACUUUUAGGGGUUUUAGAACUUGUUCUUUUCUUACUGAAAUGGAAGGAUUCAAAUGUUGCUGGUUGAGCAUCACAUAUCUUUUUAAUAUUAUUCACGAGGAUAUGUUAGCUUGAUGUAUAACUAACUAGCUAGAUCGAUGCAUGCUAUCGAAUAUAUCGAAUUGGAUCUCUCAUGCGAUCUUACUUUUCGCCAGUACAUUGUUUCAUUCUUUCCAAUUUUUUUCUGCUUUAUGAUGAAUGAUGUUCUGUUCUGUUGAUAUUUAUUAUUGAAAGAUAACUUAGCGCAGUUUGGUUUUAUAAAAAAAAUACUGGUAAUGUACUAUGAAGAUCUUAAUUUUGAGGUUUUUCUGCACUUCUUAAGGCCAGUUAUCCUUAUACUCUACCAUACCCUUACCGGUCCCUUUUGUUUAUCAUCUCUGUCAAGAUUUGGGGUUUUUUAUUUUUCUUAUAUUUUUCGAUUUUUAUUAUGAAAUUUCUGUUCAUUUGGGAAAUGGAAUGUCCGAAGAUAUACAAUUUAUAAGUGAAGGUUUUGAUAAUACUUAUUAUUAGUUUUGUGGACUUCAUCUCUCUUUCUUUCUCUCUCUCAUCUUUUUAAGGUUUUAAUUAUCUGAUAGAUAGUUUCUAUCUCCCGACUUUAGUCAGGUAUUCUCCUAAAAAAUAUUAUGCUUGAUACAGUUACAAGUCUGGAAAAUUAAUGUGCCCAUCGUUACAGAUGUGAUAGCCUUCUCGUGCUUACACCUGCUCCAUUGGGGCUCUACACAUUUGUGGCUGAAUUUUACGUAUUUCUCUGUUACACUAUAUAUUAUAUAUUAUACAAAGACAAAAAGAAAUUGUUUUUUAGGGUAUUUUUAGUUUUGGUUUUCUUUACGAACUAAAAUCUUUUUAAAAUUUUUGAAAUCCUAUAUCCUCAGUUUAUAUGUUGACAUAUUUCCCUAUAUAAGUCAUACUUUACUCAUUUCAUUUGCAUUAUUGUCUCCAGACAUUAGUAAGCUAUCCUGCUCAACAAAAUGAAAAAUAGGUAGGCCCUCUAAGAUCUCAUUCUACGAUUGGCAGUCAUGUCAGCAAGCUCCAAUGGUGGAAACCUAUAAGAACAACUUAUUUCCAAGAACCUCUGUUAGAGCUGCCAUUGGCCUAAUAUGGGAGAGAUAUGAGCUUCUGGACUAUCAAUUUUCUUAGAGGCAUGGUUCUGGAGUAUUAUUUUCAAUCCUGGGCUUAUGACAUUUUUAUCAAUAAUAUUCUCUUAAUACAGUUAUCCAUUUCCAAGAACCCCUGUUAGAUUGGCCUAAUAUGGUAGAGAGAUGAGCAUCUGGACUAUCAAUUUUCUUAGAGGCAUGGCUCUGGUGUAUUAUUUUCAAUCCUGGGCUUAAGACAUUUUUAUCAAUAAUAUUCUCUUGAUACAGUUACCCAUUUCAUGCUUCUGCUUUUUGGGCAUUUUUGAGCCUUGAAUUGCAUACCAGAUUUUUGUACCAGUUAUUUUCAUAUUUGACCCACUUUCUGUUUGUUCUGGAAUAAUGGUCAAAAGGGAGACAGUGAUGUUGUUUUCAUCUUUUAGUUCAGAAAAUGGACAUUAGUAAGAGCCUCAGUCCUGGCAAGGUAAUUCAGUGUCGGUUACAAUCGUGGCCUUGUGAUACAAAUGCUGAUGAUGCAGCCAUGGUGAGGCUCUUCUCUUCUGUCUCUUGCCUGUGUAAAGAUGAAUCUGAGUCUUUUUUUCUGAAACCCUGCUAUUAGGGUUACUCUUAUGAGUCAUUAGUUUAAGUAUGAGGCUCCACUCUUUGAGAGAAGGUUGUCUUGAUAGCUGUUACCCUCUUGAAGUUGAUGUGUUAGCCAAUGAUCAUUAUAAUUGAGUUUACCAAACAGCUCUCCACAUACAUACACGCACACAAACAUAUAUAUCUUUCUGCUUCUACUGCGAUUCAGCUACUUCUUCUUCUUCUUCUUCUUGCUAUUACGAGGCAAUGAUGAUGUUUUCUGCAAUUAGACCAGAUAUGAGUGAAGAGUUGUGUCCUGGCUAGGUGACUUGGUAUCUGUGUGAAAUUUACCUUUUGGUUCUUGCACAGAUGCUAUUGACGCAGCCUGUGCACAAGUCAUUCCCUUUGCUGUCUGAAAAAAGGCGAAUCUGAGCCUCCUUUAUUCAUAAUAAUUUUAACUUUCUGACAUAAUUAUAAAUUUGUAUUUUCCUUCUGAAUGCUUUAAUAUGGCAGUUGACAGGAACACAUUAGUUUACUCCGUUCAUUGUUCACCAAUAUGGCCGAUGCUUUUUAUUGCUCUUAAACUAGUACUUUCCUCUAGUUUCCAAUAUUUCUGCAUUUGUAUGUGACUUGGGGAGUGACAUGUGGCUGAAAAGUGUCUUUUUUGAGCAAUUGAUAAUAAUUUUAUUUUUGAGGUUUCUCUGCCCCUCUUAAGACCAGUUAUCAUUAUACUACACCAUACCCUUUGCGAGCCCUUACUAUAAUUUCAGUUUACAAUUUAGCAGCCAUGUUAGCAAGCUCCAAUGGCGGAAACCCAUGAACUACUUAUUUCUUAGAUCGGAGAGCGAUGAGGUUUUGGACAAUCAAUUUUUCGAAGAGGUAUGGCUCUGGUUUGUUAUUUGCAUGCCUGGGCUCAGGACAUUUUCCUCCAUAAAACUCUGUUAAUACAGUUAUCCAUUUCAUGCUUCUGAUUUUUGGGUCUUGAAUUGCGUAUCAGAUUUUUGUUGUUCUAGUAAUUAUCAUGUGGAUUUGCAUCCUGUAAUAUAGAACCGGUGGAAGAUUAUGUUUGAUCCAAUUUCCUUUAUUUUGAUGUUAUUUUCUCCUCAAACAAAUAGUCUCACUUCUUAUUUUAUUUUUAUUUUUCACACUUCCUUUCAUUUUUCUCCAUUUCAUAUAUAUUCAUUUUUGGAUUUAUGUUUUCACUCUGCACACAAAUACAAUCAUGUAAAAAAUUGAAAAAAAAAAUUAUACAUAACUUGAAAUGGAGGGAGUAAAUUAAAAUUAAAAUUCUGUUAUUGGAAUGAGAGCUUGAUUUGUAUAAAUUAGAAUUUGUAAGAAAUUAACCAUAUUUAGGGGAUCUGAAGCAUAAUUAACUAACUUUUGAAGUAAGAUUUCACAAGACAUUUAUACUGUAAAUUAAUUUUAUUUCUGGACCAUCUACAUGUCCAAUUGCAUGGAACAAGUUACUCUUUAAUAAAAGUUGUAAAUGAGGAAGAAACAAUACAAUUACACAUUAGGCAACAUAGUAAAUUGGAUUUGGGAGUUUAAAUGCCCUUUCGGGGCUUGGAAUUCCUUCAAUGCUACUGUAUUGGUCCCCCAGAAUGCCCCAAAUGCGAUAACCAUCAUUUAUUAUUUUCUUUCUCACAUCAGAUUUAUACUUUUUCACUGAUACCAAUUCAUUUGCAGGAUCCCUGCACAGAAACAAAAAUGAAAGGAAAAGAGAAACAUUUAGCCAAAAAUCGAGGACUAUUGAAAGAAAUGUAGAGGUAAUGGUACUCACCUAAAGAUAAUUUUAGUCCAACCAUAGUAACCAACUUUUACAAGGUUGUCAAUUGUGGCUGAUCUGAGAUGCUCCUUCCUUGAAGUAACCAAAAGGAUUUGCACACCCCUGGAUUUAAGUUCAUUGUAAAGCUUCAACGAGUGAUCAAGAGCAGGUGCAUUACCCUUUUUCAUCCAUUCCUCUAGAGAUGUCACACUCAGUUUCCUUCCCCUAUUGUCAAAGAAUUCGUCAUUAUUCACAAUGAUCAUGAACAAGCAAAGGAGAUCGAAGUAGCAAUAGAAUCUGAACAAUUUGUUUGUAUUCACAAUAGAUGAUCUGAGAAAGUUUAAAGACCAAUUCCUGACAUGUUAACUCAAUGAAAAGUUGAUUCUGAUUUAAAAUGGUUGAUUGAAACACUUUGUUGUAAUUUUACAUUGAUCACUAACGUUUACUAUUACUUGUUAGAAUAAGAAGGUCAAACGUAAAACUUAUCACUUUAAAACAAGUUUUAAGCAAUAUCUAUUAACAUGUUCAAGUACUUUCACAGUAACAGAUGCAGCAAUAUAUUUCUCCAAAAGUACGUUUAAACAUCCAAAAACACUUCUUAAAGUUUAAUGUAUUACUUUUUCUCAUUUUUACUCCGACAUUUAAGUUAUACUUGGAUUCUGAGAAUAUUAUGACAGAAAAAAUAGACUUAGAAAGAAAUUUGUAAUUACCCAUAGAGAUUAUCCUCGUAGUAAGGAAGAGUUGAAAGCAAGGUAUCAUCGAUGUCAAAGAUCCAAGCAUCGAAUCCAUCUUUCUUCAGAUUACAGCUUGUGCUGAGAUAAACCAGACACUCUUCAGUUGCCCUCUGUGAGUCCACUUUGUACUGUGUUGAAGUGACAUAUUUUCCAAUGUACUCAGUGCAUUCUUCAGGCACAACUUGGAACUCCCUAAUGUUGUGCAGUUCCACAUUCAUCCUCCAACUCUCACAAUAAUUCUUCAAGUUCAUCUCCAAUCCAUCACCUGCUAGAGGAACCAAAAGGCAUGUCAAAACCAAACACCACCUAAGUGCUUUCCCCAUUUUCUCUUCCCUGGAAAAAAGUGCAUGCAAUGAGAAUUUA